GCCCAUUGGUCCUCUCAUCUCAGAGGACCUGAUCCAUUCCUUCAAAUCUCACCACAUUCAGGGAUAAUGAAAAGGAAAUAAUACUGUUAAUAGUCGCUCAUAAUUGAUGCUAAGACCACCAUGCAGGGCCUAUUCUAAAGGCUUUACAUUUACUUCUUUUUGUCCUCAUCACAAUCCUAAAAUGUAUGUUCUGUUCUUGCCAUCUCCACUGUACACGAGGCAACAGAGACUGAGAAGUUUGCCCGCGGUCACAUGGUUGGCGCAUGUAGGAUGGAAAUCAUGAGUCCAGGCAGGUGCUCCAGAGCUCAGUCUUGGUAACCAUCAAACCUCUAGUGAUUCCCAAGUGUUCAUCUCCAGAACCGGCUUGUCUCCUGAGGGUCCACUGACUGCAGGCUUCCUGGGAUGACUGUAGACCUGGACACUUGGUCCUAUCUCUGUGCUCCCCAUGGUCAUCUAGAACUGCCCAGGGAGGAAAUUGAAGAAGGGUCUGGUGAGCCCGCAGGAGGGAAAGAAGGAAUGGGGAGGCCCCACACAUGAGCCUAUUUCUUCUCCUUCCCACCUCCCCCAACAGCACUUCAUUCCAAACAACCUGGGACCCAAAGACCCUAUGAAUUUCCUUGUGCUUCUGUCUCCUGUGCUCUCACUUCCUCUGUUACCAUGACUUGUUCCUCAAUCUCAAUUAGGCUCCACACUCAGCAUGGAGCCCAACGCGGGGCUUGAACUCACCACCCUGAGAUCAUGACCUCAGCCGAAAUCAAGAGUCGGAUGCUCAACUGACUGAGCCACCCAGGUACCCUGCUCCUCUGGCUUCUUAAUGCUGUUCAUGUCCUCCUCCAGCAGGGACGACCACUGCCCAAAUUUCUGGUCCCUUCCUCACUUUCUGGGCCCACUGAGGCAGUGUCCUUUGGGUGUCUCCAUCAACUAGAGCAGUAUCUAACCCACGCUGGAUAAAACACAGACUGCUGGGCCCCUGCCCAGAUUCUGACUCACUGGGCCUGGAGCAGGGACUGGGGACGUGCCUAAUGCCACGUCACAGUGCCUGCGUCACUUACCUCACCUCAUCUCAUCACGUGGGCAUUUGUUAUCUCAAAUCAUCAGCAUCAGCAUCAUCGGAAUGGGCCUGAUGUCACUGAAAUGGGCAGAUUCUGGAUUCAGACCUCCUGGUGGGACCCUACCUCCCCAAACCACCCACUGAUGAGACCUUGGACACGCAACUCAGUCUCUCUGAGCCCGAGUUCUCCUUUUGGAAGGAUGGGGCUGGGAUAUCAUUCAACUUCAUUGGAUUAAAGCCCAGAUGAAUAUUGUCACACAUAUUUUACAUUUGAGCAAAGGAUUUGAGGAAGAUGAACCUUCAGAUAUACAGCAAGUGGUGCAGUAGGUGCCAAGCCCGGGAUGAGCAGAGCAUGAUGAUACUGUCGUUCAUACAUCCAAGAAAUGUUUGCGACUGAAGAGGAGGAAGACAUUGUUUCCUUCCUUCACAGGGAAGGAUUAGGUCCUGGUCCCCAGAGCAAGUGUAUUCUCCUCCCUGCUCAAGAGGUUUUCACCUUCAUUGUUAUUCUCUUGGGAACCAGGCCCAUUAAGCAUGAUUAAAAACAGGUCUCAUCUAGAGUCAGAGCUGUGCUCUGAGAUGAAAAUCCUGGGUGCCGUGAACUAAAUUUCCUGUAAGAAUAAAAGAACCCGCCAAAUACUGGCCUUGCUCUAGCUAGUUGUCUAUGCUCAAAGCGUAGUAUUAAGACUCAUCAUUUAUCUUCAUUGUGGGAAUUUGUCCUUAUGAAAGAAUUGUUUUUGGAUGUGCAUUUUACCACUCUUAGAAAGCUGGUAGUUUUGACAAAUCCACAAAAUAUGUUUCUAAUUCCAUUCUGUUCCUAUUGCGUCCCGGUAAUUCUCACAUUAUUUCUGGAAGAUUAGCAGACAUGCAGUGGUAGUGACAUAAUUAGUAUUCGGAGGAGAUAAUAAUGUCAAGGGAUUUUGUUGUUCUUGGAACCUACAUGGAAAUAGAAGGAGAGCAAAAGUUGGAUUUGUGAUAAUUUUUUGGCAUAUGUUGGUGUUUGUUCAGGAAAAUUUUAAUGCCGUAAAUGAGAUUGUUUAAUGAAAACAUGUUGAAUAAGACACUUAGAAGAAAGUAGAUUUUGUAUUCUUUGUUUUACCCACAGCUUCCUCUCUGUAAGGAAAAAGCAUUUCUCUUUCUGCAGAAUUCCUUUUCUGGUAUGAAAUGGUUAAUCCUGAGAAUUGUUUCAGGCAAUAAAACACUGACUGGAAUCUUUCCGACAAUA